AACCCAUGGUGAGGACACUUUCUUAAGAGAUCAUUGUACCUUUCCCAAGCUUCAUAAAGUGACUCCAUAUCUUGCUAGUAAAAAUUUGUAAUGUCACUUCUCAUCUU